ACUAUACUUCCUCCGUCCCAAAAUAAGUGACUCAAUUUUGUAAUAACUUUUGCACUAAAGCUAAUACAAAGUUGAGUCACUUAUUUUGGGACGGAGGAAGUAUUAA
rnacentral:pre_miRNA from 1 species